rnacentral:rRNA from 1 species
CCUCAGUAACGGCGAGUGAAGCGGUAACAGCUCAAAUUUGAAAUCUGGCUCUUUUAGGGUCCGAGUUGUAAUUUGUAGAAGAUGCUUUGGGCGUGGCUCCGGUCUAAGUUCCUUGGAACAGGACGUCAUAGAGGGUGAGAAUCCCGUAUGUGACUGGUAGCUUUCGCCCGUGUAAAGCUCUUUCGACGAGUCGAGUUGUUUGGGAAUGCAGCUCAAAAUGGGUGGUAAAUUUCAUCUAAAGCUAAAUAUUGGCCAGAGACCGAUAGCGCACAAGUAGAGUGAUCGAAAGAUGAAAAGCACUUUGGAAAGAGAGUUAAACAGUACGUGAAAUUGUUGAAAGGGAAGCGCUUGCAACCAGACUCGCAGGCCGUCGAUCAUCUAGGGUUCUCCCUGGUGCACUCGGCGGUUUUCGGGCCAGCAUCGGUUUGGGUGGUGGGAUAAAGGCCUUGGGAAUGUAGCUUCUUUCGGGGAGUGUUAUAGCCCUCGGUGCAAUGCCGCCUACCUGGACCGAGGACCGCGCUUCGGCUAGGAUGC